CACAAGAGGCUAAUACUGCGUUUAGAAGACAUAUAGCAAUUCUUCUAAUGAAGGAGUCAGGUAAUUACUUUCUACCAUGUACUGUGGACUCAUUAGGCAGAUGUGAAGACAACAGGAAGAGUGGAAUUAUGUCACGUAGCAGACAGUUAUCUUAAUACCCCUAAAGUGGGAUAUCUCACAGGUUUGGUUCUGUAACGGUGACUAUGAAUCAAUAAUAUCUUUAAGUACACAAAAAUUUGAAUGGGGUGAAUGGUUGCUAUUGAUCGACCAGUUGAAUGAAAUUGGUAUUUUUAUAUAGGUGCAGUAAAGUAAAAAUUUGAGAAAAUAUGACUCCCAAAAAAGAAAAAGGUAUGUUCAAACAAGUGACUGGAUUAAAAUAUUGACAUUAAUUAAUAAAUCAAGAUUUGCAUUUUCAGUGUUGGUCGUAAUGUAUUCAUCAUUUCAUCGCGCUAUAUUUAUUUUUCAGAAAGCGUGGAGGACUCCUGCAUCUACCGCAGCCUUGUCAACUGUGAAAAGGAAAGUGAGGAUUGCACGAUGGUCCAGUGUGAUUCUUGCAAGAGGUGGGCACAUAUGCCCUGCAUUCCAGAAGGAACCAAUCAAGACUACCUGACUGAUGAGAAGAAAGAGUACAACUGCAAAAAAUGUGCAUAGUUCCCUUCUUUACCA